rnacentral:rRNA from 1 species
UACGUAGGGUACAAGCGUUGUCCGGAAUUAUUGGGCGUAAAGAGCUCGUAGGCGGUCUGUCGCGUCUGCUGUGAAAACUCAGGGCUUAACCCUGAGCUUGCAGUGGGUACGGGCAGACUAGAGUGCGGUAGGGGAGACUGGAAUUCCUGGUGUAGCGGUGAAAUGCGCAGAUAUCAGGAGGAACACCGGUGGCGAAGGCGGGUCUCUGGGCCGUAACUGACGCUGAGGAGCGAAAGCAUGGGGAGCGAGCAGG